rnacentral:lncRNA from 1 species
GCCUGAGGGGGCGGCUGGGAGCAUGUGAUGUUGUGGUGCUGCUCUGAGGCUUGCUUCCAGGGAUCUUCGGGCAAGAAUCUCUCUUGAAACAUCUGACAAUUGACGCUGUAGGAGUUCACCAUCGCACGUGUUCAGAUAAUUGGGUUGAAAGGGAACAACUGAAUUUCUGGAGCCACAGAACAAGGCCUUCGUUCCUCCACUCUGUCGACAUGAGUUGUUCUUCUGGGGCCUUCAUCCUCUGUCAUUCGUCCAGUGAGGCAGGUGCAUGGGAGCCCCAUCAUUGGCCUGAAGCUGUAAAAUACAAGAUUCACCCACAGGUGUAAGCCGAAUAGAGAAGAUGACUUUCUGAAACUGAAGGAAGUUGGAAGGAGAGGUGAGGGCUAACACGAGCAUCUCUGCAGUGAAAGGCAGGGCGAGAGGAACCUUCCCUAUUCUCACUGAUAGACACUGAAGAGAGGCCACCAUGUGAUAAAGGAACAACCUUUGCCAUCAUCUCCUUGUUGAAAUUGAAGAAACGAAAUGAGCGCUGACGGAGGUUCAGUGUGACGAUGGCAGCGAAGGUGUCAGAUGGACAAUAAAGUGAAGUGCCGGCGCAGCACAAGAACAACUCUGUGAUGUUGGUCUUUAUCCCUGCGCUGCAGAUGAGAAAGUUUGGACUGCCUUGCUG